CACAGAACAAAUCAAUCAGAACACUAAGCAACCCUGAAAUACUGUGCUUGAUCACUUUCUAUAAUCCGCUGUAACGUGCUCCUAAACAUACAGACCUCUUAGUGUAUUUAAAAUGAUUCAGUUUACUAAAGCAUAAUAAAAAACUUCUUGAGAAUCCACAGUUAAGAUGGCAGGUGUCCUCAUCUGUAUGUGCUGCACCAACAACAUUCUUGGAAGGGAGCGGUCCUACCAAACGACGACAGUCCUGAAAUAGAUGUGGAAUCCACUGAUGCAGCACACAGGGGAAUGCCACCGGAAGCUCUGAUCAAAGGGGACUGUGAGCUCCAGAAUUCCUGAUUGCGUUCAUCACAGAUGCCAAGUCUGUCAAAUUCUAAAGCAGGAAGUCAAUGGAUCAACCAGAAGGUGGCCCAGAAGAAAGCCUUCACCAGAACGUGAGCAUGCUGGCACCCUGAUCUCAGACCUCCAGUCUCGAGAACACUUCUCAGAGUCAAAAACAUCAACACAAGACUGAAGACAAAAAAAACGGAUUUUGAGCAGUUGCCCUCGGAACUACGGAAUUUAAACAGUUUGUCAAAUGUUGAUGCAUCAGACUUUUUGAUCUUCAUGAGGUUCUAUGAAGAAGAACGAAAAAAGUAUUCUAUUUUUAAAAAUGGCUCUUGAGUGAAGAUUCGUUAGAGAAAUCCUAUUUUCCUGUAGACUUUUAUUAUCAACUCAAUGAUGCAGAUUUCCCAGAAACCAAGUGCACGUAUUAGAAAACAUUGGCAAGGAGGUGGCCAGACCCAGAGCCCCCUGCAGGAUCACAGGCUAAUGACUGCCUGUGAGGUCUUCAGAGUAUCUGGCCCCAGUAGGAUUUUGCCAGUCUGGGCUUUCUGUGUCCUCUGGUAGGCUUCCUGCUGCUUCAUCUUCUAAAGCCAUAGGAGUUGGGGCUGAACCUGGCUUAGCAGGAUUCCAGGAUUCCUUGACCCCAGGCUCCCAGCUCCCAGCUCUUAGCCUCCCUCUAGCUCACUAGUUCCGGGAUUUAUGAUCCACUGCUGCUUAAAGUUUGUCCCACUCUGGAAGCUUCUAAAGAAGGGACUUCUGGCUACAGUAAACAAGAACGGAAUGCACUGUGAGAGAAAUAUUCUCCCAGCAUUCUAGACAAGGAGCCUAAUGCUCAGUCACUUGUGUGGCAGCAUCGAAAAUACUCAGUAAUCUCCAUAGAAAGCAAGGUCUUCAUCUCCUGUGAGUUUUGGCGAGUGGAGUCUCCCAUCUCAGAAACUAAAUCUGGUCAACUGAUGUUGAAAUGACUAAAGAUAUGAAAAGGUGAAAACACUUGCUGGUUGGAUUCUUGAAAACUUCAAGAAUUUUUAGAGAAGAAUUUUUUAAAACACAGUUUAUAUAAAUCAGAGGCCUUAAAACUAUUCUCCUAUGUCCAUUAAGGAACACAGAAAUCACAGAUUCUGAACAUAAUUCAAUGUUGAACGAUUCAAUUAAAUUUGAUUCAAACGUUUGGACUACAUGGCCCCCAUUUGACAAUGGAAGACUGGGACAAAAGACAUGCAGCAGAUCCUGAUGGAGCAACCUCAAGUGCCGGCCAAGCCCCUCCUGCUCCUCCUCUGCAUUAGGAAUUCUGCAAAUGAGUGAUGGUUCACAGGGGGCUCGAUCACAGAAAAGCAGUUGUUGAUCUUUGGCUGCCUGCAGGCCUGCAAUCUGUGCUACAAGUUUAUCCCUCCCAGAAAAAGCAAAAUAAAGAAGGACGAGACAAGAGGAUGGAACCAAUACAAGCAUCUGUAACAAGCUAAUUGGACCCUUGUGGGCCACCAGCAAGCACGAAACUAAAACAAACAGAGCCUCACAUUGUGCACCUUCAGGACCAGAUCCAUCCUGGGUCUGUCAGCUUUUCCCCUGCCUCCUCCCCUGACCCCCAUUUUUAAAGGACCUAAUUAUGGCUCUUUCCAAAGGAUCACAAGCCAGUUUUCAUCUAAAAAGAAUAAGGUGCUACAUCUCAAGGAUCCCAUAUGAAAAAGAAACAUGCAAGAUGUUUUAGGAUGGAGUGAAUAAACAGCAGAUCUGAAGACAGAUGGAUUUGGGAGGGAGACCCAGUUCUGCCAAGUGCUGGCAGUGUGGCCUUGCACCAGUGGCUUAACUUCUUGGGACCUCAGUUUCUCCAUUA
rnacentral:lncRNA from 1 species